rnacentral:rRNA from 1 species
ACUGUUUGGGUACUACGAACAUUUUGUUUAAAACUCAAAGAAUUUGGCGGCUAGUUAAUCUAAUUAGGGGAAUAUGUGCCUUAAUUCGAAAGUACGCGUUUGAUCAUACCACAUCUUGAAGAUAGACAGCCGGUGUACUGCCGUUGUCAGCUGGUGGUUGUGAGCUAAUAGAAACCAGCUCAAAGGAGGCCCAAGUUAAAUGUUUUGUUGACGGGCAUAGAGUCCAUUAAUACAGGUCAAAGUGCUGCCAAUGGUGUUGGGGAGCAGGUGUUACAUUCUAUAUUUUAGAUACGGAUUCCGUAGUAGUUAAUAGUAUUAACUCAAGUGAAAUCGCGGGUGAAGGUGGACUUAAAAGUAAACAGAUAUUAGGAUGUUUUUUUGGAUAAGCUCUGGCUAGUGUACAAACUGCCCGUCGCUCUCGACAUGAGUUGA